UACGUAGGUGGCAAGCGUUGUCCGGAUUUACUGGGCGUAAAGAGCGCGCAGGCGGUCGUCCAAGUCGCGUGUGAAAGCCCCCGGCUCAACUGGGGAGGGUCACGCGAUACUGGUCGACUCGAAGGCAGGAGAGGGUAGUGGAAUUCCCGGUGUAGUGGUGAAAUGCGUAGAUAUCGGGAGGAACACCAGUGGCGAAGGCGGCAUCCUGGACCAUAACUGACGCUGAGGCGCGAAAGCUAGGGGAGCAAACGGG
rnacentral:rRNA from 1 species